AGUGAACGCUGGCGGUAUGCCUAACACAUGCAAGUCGAACGGCAGCACAGUAAGAUCUUGCUCUUACGGUUGGCGAGUGGCGGACGGGUGAGGAAUACAUCGGAAUCUACUUUUUCGUGGGGGAUAACGUAGGGAAACUUACGCUAAUACCUCAUACGACCUACGGGUGAAAGCAGUGGAUCUUCGGACCUUUCGCGAUUGAAUGAGCCGAUGUCGGAUUAGCUAGUUGGCGAGGUAACGGCCCACCAAGGCAACGAUCCGUAGCCGACCUGAGAGGAUGAUCGGCCACACGGGAACUAGGACACGGGCCAGACUCCUACGGGAGGCAGCAGUAGGGAAUCUUCCGCAAUGGGCGAAAGCCUAACGGAGCAACGCCGCGAGAGAGAUGAAGGUCAUCGGAGCGUAAAACUCUGUUAUUAGGGAAGAACAAAUGUGUAAGUAACUAUGCACGUCUUGACGGUACCUAAUCAGAAAGCCACGGCUAACUACGU
rnacentral:rRNA from 1 species